rnacentral:rRNA from 1 species
CUACGGGGGGCUGCAGUGGGGCAUAUUGCACAAUGGGCGCAAGCCUGAUGCAGCCAUGCCGCGUGUGUGAAGAAGGCCUUCGGGUUGUAAAGCACUUUCAGCGGGGAGGAAGGCGUUAAGGUUAAUAACCUUGUCGAUUGACGUUACCCGCAGAAGAAGCACCGGCUAACUCCGUGCCAGCAGCCGCGGUAAUACGGAGGGUGCAAGCGUUAAUCGGAAUUACUGGGCGUAAAGCGCACGCAGGCGGUCUGUCAAGUCGGAUGUGAAAUCCCCGGGCUCAACCUGGGAACUGCAUUCGAAACUGGCAGGCUAGAGUCUUGUAGAGGGGGGUAGAAUUCCAGGUGUAGCGGUGAAAUGCGUAGAGAUCUGGAGGAAUACCGGUGGCGAAGGCGGCCCCCUGGACAAAGACUGACGCUCAGGUGCGAAAGCGUGGGGAGCAAACAGGAUUAGAUACCCCUGUAGUC